GAUCAAAGUUGUAUACUCUGUAGACCGACAGUGAGAGAGAACACAUGUUCUAGUGUACAUUUGUCAAUCCAUCUGUUCCCAUCUUCUUCCAUCACCUUUUUAUUGGACAGUGUGUGUGUGUGUGUGUGUGUGUGUGUCUGUGUGUGUGUGUGUGUGUGUGUGUGUGUGUGUGUGUGUGUGUGUGUG